rnacentral:rRNA from 1 species
UCAAGGCUAAAGACUAAUGAACGGAUGAGAGUGAACCAGUACCGACCGUGAGGGAAAGGUGAAAAGCACCGUGAACAACGGAGUGAAAGAGUACCUGAAACCAUGUACCUACAACCAGUCGAAGUCCCGCAAGGGAUAACGGCGUACCUUUUGUUUAAUGGCCCAGCGAGUUACGCAUGUGCAGCAAGGUUAAGCCCCGCAGGGGCGAAGCCGGAGCGAAAGCGAGUCUGAAUAGGGCGCUCAGUUGCACGUGGUAGACGCGAAGCCUGGUGAUCUAGCCAUGACCAGGAUGAAGUCUCUGUAAAAGGAGAUGGAGGUCCGAACCGACUCCUGUUGAAAAAGUAGCGGAUGAGUUGUGGCUAGGGGUGAAAGGCUAAUCAAACCAGGCGAUAGCUCGUUCUCCUCGAAAUAUAUUUAGGUAUAGCCUCAUGUGAAUAAUAACGGAGGUAGAGCACUGAAUGGACUAGGGGACCUACCAGUCUACCAAACCCAAUCAAACUCCGAAUGCCGCUAUUCCAUACAUGGGAGUCAGGGAGCGGGGGAUAAGCUUCGUUCCCGAGAGGGAAACAACCCAGACCAUCAGCUAAGGUCCCCAAAUAUAUGUUAAGUGACUAAGGAUGUACGUUUGCAUUAACAGCUAGGAAGUUGGCUUAGAAGCAGCCACCCUUUAAAGAAAGCGUAAUAGCUCACCAGUUCAGCGAAUGCGCGCCGAAAAUAUACGGGACUAAACAUGUUACCGAAGCUAUGGAAUCAAUAGCAAUACUGAUUGGUAGAGGAGCGUUCUGUAAGCCUGCGAAGGUAUCCUGUAAGGGGUGCUGGAGGUAUCAGAAAUGAGAAUGCUGGGAUAAGUAGCGAUAAUGAAGGUGGAAAACCUUCACACCGAAAAUCUAAGGUUUCCUGGGCAAGGCUCGUCCUCCCAGGGUAAGUCGGGUCCUAAGCCGAGGCAGAAUAUGCGUAGGCGAUGGAAAACAGGUUUAAAAUUCCUGUACCGUCAUCAGUGCGAUGGGAUGACGCAGGAAGCUAAGUCAGCCCCCUGUUGGUGGGGGUCUAAGCACAUAGGUGGGAUGUCCAGGCAAAUCCGGAUGUCCAUUCAACACUGAAGUGUGAUGGGGAAGGGAGUCUUCGGAUGAACAAACUGAUGUAUGCUCUGCUGCCAAGAAAAGUCUCUAAGCUUCAGCUGAUGAUGCCCGUACCGGAAUCCGACACAGGUAGAUAAGUCGAGUAGACUAAGGUGCGCGAGAGAACCGUGGUAAAGGAACUCGGCAAAUUAGCCCCGUAACUUCGGGAGAAGGGGGGCCCCCCUCGCAAAAGCAGGCCGCAGUGAACAGGCCCAAGCGACUGUUUAACAAAAACACAGCACUCUGCGAAAUCGUAAGAUGACGUAUAGGGUGUGACACGUGCCCGGUGCCGGAAGGUUAACAGGAGAUGUCAGCCAGGUUUCCUGGUGAAGCGUUGAAUCGAAGCCCCAGUAAACGGCGGCCGUAACAAUAACGGUCCUAAGGUAGCGAAAUUCCUUGUCGGGUAAGUUCCGACCUGCACGAAUGGCGUAACGAUGGCCACACUGUCUCCUCCAGAGACUCAGCGAAGUUGAAAUAGCUGUGCCGAUGCAGUUUACCCGCGGAAAGACGGAAAGACCCCGUGAACCUUUACUAUAACUUGACAGUGACACUAGGGGUUGGCUGUGUAGCAUAGGUGGGAGCCUUUGAAGCUGGGCCGCUAGGUUCAGUGGAGGCAACGGUGAAAUACCACCCUGCUGACUUCUGGUGUCUAACCGCAUCCCGUCAUCCGGGAUCGGGACACUGUCUGGUGGGUAGUUUGACUGGGGCGGUCGCCUCCAAAAAAGUAACGGAGGC